AAUUCUGAGCCAUGCUGACAUUUUAGGUUGUGUUUUCCUUCUCGACAGAUCGCAGACUACUCAUUUUCUCUGGGGUUCAUGGAGGUGACAAGGAUGGACUCCCAAGGCAUGUCUGCAAUGGUUGUUUGAAACAAGAAACAGAUACCCUCUUGCUGUCAUUCAUCUCUGAUCACCGGGAAUCUGAGCUUGGAGGAAGGUGAAAGAAAACUCCUACCGAGAACUGGGAAUCAUUUGUCUCAGGGAGCCUUAUGUGAGCAGGGUUUGCUGCUCUUACUUUCCCAAAGGCACCCGGGUGGAAAUGCCCACUUUGGCCCAAGCUGCCCUUUGCAGACAGAUGCACAGACAAAUGCUGGCCGAAGGUCUCAGUGCAGGUAAGUCACCCUAACCCUGCUCCUUCUCUUGCAGUGCAGUCCCACAUCUUUGGACAUUGACUUUUUCCCAUUCCUACCUACCACUGCUUCAGGACCAUGCUUCUUGGGGAAUGGGGAAAUCCAGGUCCUGCUGAGGUAUGAAGAAAAAAGGGAUUUUGACUUAUAUGGUACAGGGUAUGGGCUUC
rnacentral:lncRNA from 1 species